GUGGGUGUGUCGGAGUGGUUAUCGGGCAUUAGUAGAAAUCAUGUGGGCUUUGCCCGCGCAGGUUCAAAUCCUGCCGCUCACG
rfam:Ipomoea nil DNA, scaffold: scaffold2283, cultivar: Tokyo-kokei standard.